CUUUAUCUUGCCGAACAGCUUUCUGUGUGAAGAGUGUGUCUUUUUCAUUUUGCGAAUAGUGAAGAUUUCAAUACAAAUUGACACUAUUAUAAAUUAACCUGGCUACACCCCCCUAGCUGUCAAUCAGACAACCAAUCCUGUUACUUCCUAGUUUGGUUAGCUCAGUGGCGCUAGGCUCAAGAGGCAGCAAUUGCCCAGAGCACCUGCCUUGUGAAAACGUCUCAUUGUGCUGCACAGAAAGUCUGAGCUGGGUAAGAAGGAGAGGACCUGCGAAGGAUUCAGACACAAGAUCAGUAGCUUUUGCAAGCUGUUUUUAGAUACACCCCUAAUUAUAUAAAAAAGUUUAAUUAAAUACAUGCAAGUUUUCAUUUGGGAUAUAUAUACUAAACAGUAUUUUUUUUUAAUUUGCAUUUGGGCAUUGGAGUAUCCCUUUAAGGAAGCAAGCUGAGAUAUGUCAAAUCAACCUAAGACACCCAUUAGCCCUUUGGAAAACUGCUAGUGCACAUUUUUGUUAUUCUAG